AAAAGGAGGACUUAGCUUCGGCGAAGGUCUUUAUUGAAGUCCCAGUGAACGGAGGCAGUAAAUACAACGGUCCAAAGGUAGAGAAAAUCCUUGUCGGGUAAGUUCCGACCUGAAUGAAAGGCGUAAUGAUUUGGGCGCUGUCUCAACAAUAGACUCGGUGAAAUUUAAAUUCCAGUGAAGAUGCUGGGUACCCGCGACAGGACGGAAAGACCCCGUGGAGCUUUACUGUAGCUUGAUAUUGAAUGUUUGUGCUGCAUGUGCAGGAUAGGUAGGAGACUUUGAAGUCGGAACGCUAGUUUCGAUUGAGUCACCCUUGAGAUACUACCUCUGUUGUAUGAACGUUCUAACUCUGAUCAGUUAUCCUGAUCGAAGACAGUGUCUGGCAGGCAGUUUGACUGGGGCGGUCGCCUCCUAAAAGAUAACGGAGGCGCUCAAAGGUUUGCUCAGAAUGGUUGGAAAUCAUUCGUAGCGUGUAAAGGCAUAAGCAAGCUUGACUGUGAGACUGACAAGUCGAGCAGGUACGAAAGUAGGACUUAGUGAUCCGGUGGUUCCGUAUGGAAGGGCCAUCGCUCAACGGACAAAAGCUACCCCGGGGAUAACAGGCUCAUCUCCCCCAAGAGUCCACAUCGACGGGGAGGUUUGGCACCUCGAUGUCGGCUCAUCGCAUCCUGGGGCUGUAGUCGGUCCCAAGGGUUGGGCUGUUCGCCCAUUAAAGC
rnacentral:rRNA from 1 species